ACAAAGUCAAAACCAACCAUAAUUCAGGACGAACGCUGGCGGCGUGCUUAACACAUGCAAGUCGAACGAAGAGCGAUGGAAGCUUGCUUCUAUCAAUCUUAGUGGCGAACGGGUGAGUAACGCGUAAUCAACCUGCCCUUCAGAGGGGGACAACAGUUGGAAACGACUGCUAAUACCGCAUACGAUCCAAUCUCGGCAUCGAGACUGGAUGAAAGGUGGCCUCUAUUUAUAAGCUAUCACUGAAGGAGGGGAUUGCGUCUGAUUAGCUAGUUGGAGGGGUAACGGCCCACCAAGGCGAUGAUCAGUAGCCGGUCUGAGAGGAUGAACGGCCACAUUGGGACUGAGACACGGCCCAGACUCCUACGGGAGGCAGCAGUGGGGAAUCUUCCGCAAUGGACGAAAGUCUGACGGAGCAACGCCGCGUGAGUGAUGACGGCCUUCGGGUUGUAAAGCUCUGUUAAUCGGGACGAAUGGUUCUUGUGCGAAUAGUGCGAGGAUUUGACGGUACCGGAAUAGAAAGCCACGGCUAACUACGUGCCAGCAGCCGCGGUAAUACGUAGGUGGCAAGCGUUGUCCGGAAUUAUUGGGCGUAAAGCGCGCGCAGGCGGAUUGGUCAGUCUGUCUUAAAAGUUCGGGGCUUAACCCCGUGAUGGGAUGGAAACUGCCAAUCUAGAGUAUCGGAGAGGAAAGUGGAAUUCCUAGUGUAGCGGUGAAAUGCGUAGAUAUUAGGAAGAACACCAGUGGCGAAGGCGACUUUCUGGACGAAAACUGACGCUGAGGCGCGAAAGCCAGGGGAGCGAACGGGAUUAGAUACCCCGGUAGUCCUGGCCGUAAACGAUGGGUACUAGGUGUAGGAGGUAUCGACCCCUUCUGUGCCGGAGUUAACGCAAUAAGUACCCCGCCUGGGGAGUACGACCGCAAGGUUGAAACUCAAAGGAAUUGACGGGGGCCCGCACAAGCGGUGGAGUAUGUGGUUUAAUUCGACGCAACGCGAAGAACCUUACCAGGUCUUGACAUUGAUGGACAGAACGUGGGAACUCAUGAGAGACUGCCGCAGACAAUGCGGAGGAAGGCGGGGAUGACGUCAAAUCAUCAUGCCCCUUAUGACCUGGGCUACACACGUACUACAAUGGGAGUUAAUAGACGGAAGCGAAACCGCGAGGUGGAGCAAACCCGAGAAACACUCUCUCAGUUCGGAUCGUAGGCUGCAACUCGCCUACGUGAAGUCGGAAUCGCUAGUAAUCGCAGGUCAGCAUACUGCGGUGAAUACGUUCCCGGGCCUUGUACACACCGCCCGUCACACCACGAAAGUCGGAAGUGCCCAAAGCCGGUGGGGUAACCUUCGGGAGCCAGCCGUCUAAGGUAAAGUCGAUGAUUGGGGUGAAGUCGUAACAAGGUAGCCGUAUCGGAAGGUGCGGCUGGAUCACCUCCUUU
rnacentral:rRNA from 1 species